rnacentral:rRNA from 1 species
GAUGAACGCUAGCGGCAGGCCUAACACAUGCAAGUCGAGGGAGAAGCCCUUCGGGGCAGAAACCGGCGCACGGGUGCGUAACGCGUAUGCAACCUACCUUUCACAGGGGGAUAGCCCGAAGAAAUUUGGAUUAAUACCCCAUAAUAUUAUUGGAUGGCAUCAUUUGAUAAUUAAAAUUACGAUGGUGAAAGAUGGGCAUGCGUCCUAUUAGCUAGUUGGAGUGGUAACGGCACCCCAAGGCUACGAUAGGUAGGGGUCCUGAGAGGGAGAUCCCCCACACUGGUACUGAGACAGGGACCAGACUCCUACGGGAGGCAGCAGUGAGGAAUAUUGGUCAAUGGUCGGAAGACUGAACCAGCCAUGCCGCGUGCAGGAAGAAUGCCUUAUGGGUUGUAAACUGCUUUUAUAUGGGAAGAAUAAGGAGUACGUGUACUUUGANGACGGUNCCA